GACGAACGCUGGCGGCGUGCUUAACACAUGCAAGUCGAACGGAAAGGCCCUGCUUUUGUGGGGUGCUCGAGUGGCGAACGGGUGAGUAACACGUGAGUAACCUGCCCUUGACUUUGGGAUAACUUCAGGAAACUGGGGCUAAUACCGGAUAGGAGCUCCUGCUGCAUGGUGGGGGUUGGAAAGUUUCGGCGGUUGGGGAUGGACUCGCGGCUUAUCAGCUUGUUGGUGGGGUAGUGGCUUACCAAGGCUUUGACGGGUAGCCGGCCUGAGAGGGUGACCGGCCACAUUGGGACUGAGAUACGGCCCAGACUCCUACGGGAGGCAGCAGGGGGGAAUAUUGCACAAUGGGCGGAAGCCUGAUGCAGCAACGCCGCGUGCGGGAUGACGGCCUUCGGGUUGUAAACCGCUUUCGCCUGUGACGAAGCGUGAGUGACGGUAAUGGGUAAAGAAGCAACGGCUAAGUACGUG
rnacentral:rRNA from 1 species